rnacentral:tRNA from 1 species
GCGAAUGUGGCGGAACUGGUAGACGCGCCGGCCUCAGGUGCCGGUGCCCUUCGGGGCGUGUGGGUUCGAGUCCCACCUUUCGUACCA